GUCAAUUACCUAUCACUAAAGUGACGGGCUUAUACAGCUUGAAAUUGACUAGUCUAGGUUCUCACGAACUACGUUGGUUGGGUCAUGACACCUCUCGGUGCCCGUUCUAGCCGUUUGCCCUGUC
rnacentral:sRNA from 19 species